ACCGGACACCACGCGACGUGC
rnacentral:siRNA from 1 species